rnacentral:tRNA from 1 species
GGGCCUCUAGUAAACAAUUACGUAGCCCUGUCAGUGCUAAAUAAAAGGUGUAACCCCUUUGAGACUCA